GACGUAGGGCGCGAGCGUUGUCCGGAUUUAUUGGGCGUAAAGAGCUCGUAGGCGGCUCGUCGCGUCAGCUGUGAAAACCCGCAGCUUAACUGUGGGCUUGCAGCUGAUACGGGCGGGCUAGAGUUCGGUAGGGGAGACUGGAAUUCCUGGUGUAGCGGUGAAAUGCGCAGAUAUCAGGAGGAACACCGGUGGCGAAGGCGGGUCUCUGGGCCGAUACUGACGCUGAGGAGCGAAAGCGUGGGGAGCGAACAGG
rnacentral:rRNA from 1 species